rnacentral:rRNA from 1 species
CGGUGGCGGGACGGGGUGGAGUAAUGUCUGGGAAACUGCCCGAUGAGGGGGAGUAACUACUGGAAACGGUAGCUAAUACCGCAUAACGUCGCAAGACCAAAGAGGGGGACCUUCGGGCCUCUUGCCAUCGGAUGUGCCCAGAUGGGAUUAGCUAGUAGGUGGGGUAAAGGCUCACCUAGGCGACGAUCCCUAGCUGGUCUGAGAGGAUGACCAGCCACACUGGAACUGAGACACGGUCCAG